rnacentral:lncRNA from 1 species
UUUACUGAUCUCCCACAGAAUCUUCCACAUUCUAGAAGUGGGCUACGGCCCUAAGAUACGAGACAAGUGUUCAAUCAGUGUUCUGUUAGUGACAGUGGUUUCCUAACGUUAUAAUAUUCGUUUUUCCUGCUAGCGUUUAGGAGCGUGGCGAGUGUUAUAGGCCCGUUGAAAGCGUUGAUAAUAGCUGGCAAAGGGUGGAAAGACCUGGCCCGUGUUAGCUGAAGCUGCCACACUCGUCGACGUCAUUCUUACGUCACUGCUGCGCUGACUGACCAAUACUCCACCGUUUCCUUUUGAUUGCUUAACUCUUCCUACCAUAAACUUGAGGUUUAUGCUCCAGCGAAGAGACAGUGAAUGCGCCAACUAUUCCUCACAUAACUUUGUGCUAUUAUGUGUCAGUGAAGAGGUGGUCUGCCAAGUGCUCCCAUACCCAUAGAAGAGGAAAACCUAUUACGUGAAGGAAGUGGUUGACCUUAUCGCCUCAGGGCUGCUACAUUGCUUCAAUUUCCUCAAACAUGUCAUCUGAAUAAGACUCCUGCUGCCCAAGCGUGUUAAGUGCCUGUUCUUUUUCGGACCUAACCUGGACUACAACGGGAGACGCUGUCACGACAUCGCAUGUGCCCCGAUUUUUUUUCUUUUGGGCGCAAACGACAAGACCCCAGGGAUAACCCCAUCCUGGGGCAUCUUGGAUAUUGAUUGCUACUCUCAAGGAUCAAGAGCGCAGGAACAAAAAUAGUACCUGUAUAACCUCCGGUAUUCUCGUCGUCGCAUCUCCUUUGCCGUGUGCAUCGUGCCUCAAGUGCAGCCAGCGCGACGUCAUUUCUGCUGGAUACAUUAUUUCAUUUGAGUUCUCUAAACUGCAUCCACUGCAGUUCCGUUAUUCUACUUCCCUGGAGCCGAAGUUUACCCUUUGAAGUUUCAAUAAAAUUGU